rnacentral:rRNA from 1 species
UACGUAGGGUGCGAGCGUUGUCCGGAAUUAUUGGGCGUAAAGAGCUCGUAGGCGGUGUGUCACGUCGUUCGUGAAAACCUGCAGCUUAACUGUGGGCGUGCGGUCGAUACGGGCAUCACUGGAGUUCGGCAGGGGAGACUGGAAUUCCUGGUGUAGCGGUGAAAUGCGCAGAUAUCAGGAGGAACACCGGUGGCGAAGGCGGCCAACUGGACGAAUACUGACGCUGAGGUGCGAAAGCGUGGGGAGCAAACAGG